GCUCUCAGCUUCUGUUCCUCAACCACGGCCGCCGCGUGGAUGCCGCUGCAUUCGGAGUCGUUUUGCCACUUGGUCCCAGCGCCAGGCUUCUCGGUCGGGAGUUGACCUCAGCCUUUCUGUGACCCAGUUCCUGGCACCCAGCAGGCGCUCGGUGGACGGAUGGGUGGCGGAAUGAAGGACACAGAGGCCACUGCGGGGUCUGGCCUCUAAGAGGCUUUUACGGCCUCCUCCGUCACUACCGGGCGAGUGAUUCAGCCUGCCUUUUUUUUUUUUUUUUUUUUUUGAGAUGGAGUCAAGCUCUGUCGCCCAGGCUGGAGUGCAGUGGCACGAUCUCGGCUCACUGCAACCUCCGCCUCCCAGGUUCAAGCGAUUUUCCUGCCUCAGCCUCCUGAGUAACUGGGAUUACAGGUGCCCGCCACCACGUCCGGCUAAUUUUUUUUCUAUUUUUAGUAGAGACGGGGGUUUCACUGUUUUGGCCAGGCUGGUCUCGAGCUCCUGAUCUCGUGAUCCGCCCGCUUCGGCCUUACAAAGUGCUGGGAUUACAAGCGUGAGCCACCGUGCCCGGCUCAUCCUGCUUUUGGUUUCAGGUCUCCAUGCCAGUGAAAUGUCACCUCAACUCCACCGUCCCUGGUGUCAGGCAAGCCCGAGGGACCCAAUUCUGCCUUUCUUCUGGAUUUUCCUAACCUGUUAAGAGUCUUGAAAGUCCUUAAACCACGGGAGACUAUCUGGCACAUGACACGGGAUGAGACUUGGUGGGGGUCCCACGGGGGACAGGUCCUUCCAGCGGUUCCUCUGCACCCAGCGCUGCACGGGCAUGGGGCGUGGGUAAUCAGCCUCCCGAAAGCCACGCGAGUCACGGUCCUGCCUGCGAAGAACUCCCAGGGCGACCUUGGGGCUGAGGAGUGGGCCUGCUUCGGCCUUCUGCUCUUCUGUUGUGUGGUGACCCUCACCAGAGGACAGCUUCAUGCUCUUGGACUUCCCAGCCUCAAGAACUUCUUGCUCUGUUGCCCAGGCUAGAAUGCAGAGGCACCAUCUUGGCUCACUGCAACCUCCGCCUACCGGGUUCAAAUGAUUCUCCUGCCUCAGCCUCCCGAGUAGCUGGGAUUACAGGCACCUGCCACCAUGCCCAGCUAAUUUUUGUAUUUUCAGCAGAGAUGAGGUUUUACCAUGUUGACCAGGCUGGUCUUGAACUCCUGACCUCAAGUGAUCCGCCAACCUCGGCCUCCCAAAGUGCUGAGAUUACAGGCAUGAGCCACCAUGCCCGGCCUCCAUCUUUUACUUUCAAUCUAUCUGAAGCUUUAUAUUUAAGGUGCAUAUAUUUUAGACAGUUAAUAAUUUCAGCUUGCUUUUUUUUUUCCUAGUUGGGGAAACUCUGCUUUUUAAUUGGAUUGUUUAUUCUGGUUACAUUUGUUGUUGUGGUGAAAUUUGGAAAGUUCAACCUGCCACAACGUCUUCACUUACUAUUUUUAAAGGAUAUUCUCAAUGAGUGUGAAUAGUGAGUCAACAGCUUUCUUUCACCAUUUCACACAUCCUGAGCCUCCAUUGUUUUGAGUCAGCUGUCGUUCAUAUCUUUGUUACCUGUGAAUGCACAAAAUUUGCUCUGUAUGAUGACUAUGAUGUGUCCAGGUAGGGUUUUCUUUACAUUUAUUUUUAUGAGGGGUUUAUGAACUUUUUGAAUCUAUAAGUUGAUGUUUUUUCACUACAUUUGAGACUAUAUCAACUUUUUUUUUCUUUCAUCUUUUCCAGCCAUUUCUUCUUGGUUCUGGUUCCGUGUGUACUGCAUGAUAUUGUACCACGUGUCACGGAGACUCGCUUCCUUGUUUUCUUUCAGUUUCAUUUUCCCUUGCACUUCAGAUGGAAUGAUAUCUAUUGAUCUCUUUUCAAGUUCACUCAUUCUUUCUUCUGUAAUGUUCAAUCUCUCUUAAGAAAGUCCAAAUAAAUUUUUCAUUUCAGAGAGUGGAAUUUUCGGUUCU
rnacentral:lncRNA from 1 species